rnacentral:pre_miRNA from 1 species
AUUAGAACCACCUAGGGGUCUUGUUAAAAUGCAGAUUUUCAUUCAGGAGGUCUAGGAUAGGCGCCAGGAUUCUACAAGUUUAACAAGCUCCCAUGUGAUGCUAAU